GUGGCUGUGGCUCAGGGGUAGAAUGCUUAUCUAGCACAUGCGAGGCACUGGGUUCGAUCCUCAGCAUCACA
rnacentral:tRNA from 1 species